AGAGUUUGAUCCUGGCUCAGGAUGAACGCUGGCGGCGUGCUUAACACAUGCAAGUCGAACGGGGGCGUGAUGUGCGAGAGGGAUAGUUUACUAGACUUCAAACUUUUCACGCCCUAGUGGCGGACGGGUGAGUAACGCGUGGGUAACCUGCCAUAUACAGGGGGAUAACACUUAGAAAUAGGUGCUAAUACCGCAUAAGCGCACAGGGGCGCAUGCCCCGGUGUGAAAAACUCCGGUGGUAUAUGAUGGACCCGCGUCUGAUUAGCCAGUUGGCAGGGUAACGGCCUACCAAAGCGACGAUCAGUAGCCGGCCUGAGAGGGCGGACGGCCACAUUGGGACUGAGACACGGCCCAAACUCCUACGGGAGGCAGCAGUGGGGGAUAUUGGACAAUGGGGGAAACCCUGAUGCAGCGACGCCGCGUGAGUGAAGAAGUAUUUCGGUAUGUAAAGCUCUAUCAGCAGGGAAGAAAAUGACAGUACCUGACCAAGAAGCCCCGGCUAACUACGUGCCAGCAGCCGCGGUAAUACGUAGGGGGCAAGCGUUAUCCGGAUUUACUGGGUGUAAAGGGAGCGUAGACGGUUAUGUAAGUCUGGAGUGAAAGCCCGGGGCCCAACCCCGGGACUGCUUUGGAAACUGUGUAACUGGAGUACAGGAGGGGCAGGCGGAAUUCCUGGUGUAGCGGUGAAAUGCGUAGAUAUUAGGAGGAACACCAGUGGCGAAGGCGGCUUGCUGGGCUUUUACUGACGCUGAGGCUCGAAAGCGUGGGGAGCAAACAGGAUUAGAUACCCUGGUAGUCCACGCCGUAAACGAUGAUCACUAGGUGUGGGGAGCGAACCUUUCCGUGCCGGAGUAAACACAAUAAGUGAUCCACCUGGGGAGUACGGCCGCAAGGCUGAAACUCAAAGGAAUUGACGGGGGCCCGCACAAGCAGUGGAGUAUGUGGUUUAAUUCGAAGCAACGCGAAGAACCUUACCGGGUCUUGACAUCGAGUGAAAGAUCAAGAGAUUGAUCCCUCUCUUCGGAGACACGAAGACAGGUGGUGCAUGGUUGUCGUCAGCUUGUGUCGUGAGAUGUUGGGUUAAGUCCCGCAACGAGCGCAACCCUUAUCAUUAGUUGCUACGCAAGAGCACUCUAAUGAGACUGCCGUUGACAAAACGGAGGAAGGUGGGGAUGACGUCAAAUCAUCAUGCCCUUUAUGACCCGGGCUACACACGUACUACAAUGGUGUUUAACAAAGAGAAGCGAAGCCGCGAGGCGGAGCAAAUCUCGAAAAAACAUCUCAGUUCAGAUUGCAGGCUGCAACUCGCCUGCAUGAAGUCGGAAUUGCUAGUAAUCGUAGGUCAGCAUACUACGGUGAAUACGUUCCCGGGCCUUGCACACACCGCCCGUCA
rnacentral:rRNA from 1 species